CAUUGCUCUAUCAGCAGCGCCCCAUGUGAGAUCAUUCUGGGGAUGGACUAAAUCAUCCAUUGGUUGGCUAACCAUCCACUCACUAGUCCAGUCUAACUCAUCAAGCAAUAGGGAAUCAUAAUUUCUAUUCUCCUCACGCCUUUGUCGAAACCUUUCUUGAAGGCGGCGAUUGUAUUGAACAUAGACUAGAUCAUUCAAACGUUCAUGUUCUAGUCUAUUCCUCUUCUUGGUAUGAAUCCAGCUCCUUAC